GCAACGCCGCGUGAGGGACGACGGCCUUCGGGUUGUAAACCUCUUUUAGUAGGGAAGAAGCGAAAGUGACGGUACCUGCAGAAAAAGCACCGGCUAACUACGUGCCAGCAGCCGCGGUAAUACGUAGGGUGCAAGCGUUGUCCGGAAUUAUUGGGCGUAAAGAGCUCGUAGGCGGUUUGUCGCGUCUGCUGUGAAAACCCGAGGCUCAACCUCGGGCCUGCAGUGGGUACGGGCAGACUAGAGUGCGGUAGGGGAGAUUGGAAUUCCUGGUGUAGCGGUGGAAUGCGCAGAUAUCAGGAGGAACACCGAUGGCGAAGGCAGAUCUCUGGGCCGUAACUGACGCUGAGGAGCGAAAGCAUGGGGAGCGAACAGGAUUAGAUACCCUGGUAGUCCAUGCCGUAAACGUUGGGAACUAGAUGUAGGGGCCAUUCCACGGUUUCUGUGUCGCAGCUAACGCAUUAAGUUCCCCGCCUGGGGAGUACGGCCGCAAGGCUAAAACUCAAAGGAAUUGACGGGGGCCCGCACAAGCGGCGGAGCAUGCGGAUUAAUUCGAUGCAACGCGAAGAACCUUACCAAGACUUGACAUAUACGAGAACGGGCCAGAAAUGGUCAACUCUUUGGACA
rnacentral:rRNA from 1 species